ACUAUCAGCUGUAAGAGGAAAUAAAUCCUUUCUUCCUCAAGCUGCUUUUGGUCAUGCUGUUUAUCACAGCACUAGGAAGCAAAGUUCCUAACCUGAAAUUUCUAUGAAAAUGAUCGUGUCAUGUGCAUACAAUUAUAAAUACAAACAUAAACAUACACCAUAUACACUUGUAUAUAAUUGCAUUCUAUUUGUUUUCCUUCCCGUGAUACCUUUCACUUGUGUUUUUCUUUCCUUUUCUUGUCUUGCUGCCUUGCCAUCCUGACAUGCGUUAAAUACUCUACAAACUCCCUAAGUUUGCUAUUUCGACCAUUGUCCGUACACAAAUGAAGACGUUGGGGCUUGGAGGAAACCCACCUGUGCCAUGGCUAACCAAGGCAUCGAUUCCAGGGCUGCUUCUGGAGCAAGCGUCAACAAUAAGAGUGGCCCACAAAUGCAGUCCAGGCAACAAUGAAUCUGGGACUUGGUUUCCUUCUGGAGAACCCUGAAGUAUUAUCGCUGGGACUCACCUCAGGAAGAGAUUCUCCACAUGGCAGUAGAUGUGGUGGCCAGGGCAUGAGGAUCACUAAGAACCCCAAGAAAGCCUAAGGCUGGCUCUCCUCCAGCAUCCCUGUAGUCCCGGACAAUCAUUCAGAUUGGCCAGCUGGACCUCAUGUGGCUCACACAGGACCAAUGAUGAACAGCUCCACUAGAAUUGCUAAGAGAUGAAAGAAAGAUGGGGUGACAGUGAUAUUAGAUGGCUCCAAUGAGGAGAAGAUGUACACUAUGUUACGGGGGUCCAAGUGACCCUCACCGACCAGGAUGUGGACUCAGGAGGUUCACCUUCUGUCUUGGUUUUGCCACUGGUACUCUGGACUCCGUGACUCCUACUUUGCUCACAUGGCAACUGUAAAUGAGAAGCCCACAGAAAGGAGGGUGUGGAAAACAAAACGCUGGAAGGAAUCACUUUAUCUCCACUGGCUUUAAUUAGCAGAGUCACCCUCAGCUGCAGAACCUUGGAUGGCUCCCUACAACCUGACUCAUCAAGUUCAUGACUGCGGAGCUUGCAAGGCUCCUCACAAUGGGGCCCCACCUGUCGACUUCAGGUCUCUCUCACGCUUUGCUCCUUAGACCCAGGAGGGACCUUAUUGUGGAAGAGUGGGAAGAAUGCAAGAGCCUGAGGAUGGGGAGGAAUGCUGUGGAAUGCUUGCCGUGAAAGCAUGAGGAGUGGCAGCUCAGAAAUAAGGAGGUUGAAGGGAAAACAUUUUGUCUUUUGCAUGCUUGCCUUUGCAUUUUUUUUCUGUGAGUUCAUCUACUCUGUUGCUGCUAUUGCCACUGCUGCUGCUAUCAUCAUUGCUGACAUCAGGACUCAGCUUCAUUCACCUUCCAACAUGGUUCUCCGGAAAUCCUCCAGGCCAUCAGUGCCAGAUUGGAAAUGUUGAGGUAUCUAUCCUCAGAGUCUGAACAGAUGGUGGGUCUCAGCCUCAUCAGGGUGAAGUCAGCUAUUGUUAACCUACCCAGAAGAAAUUGUGUAAACCAACCCAUGAAACAUGGCUGCUCCUGACAGCACCAAUCUACUUCAGAGAAGAUGAUGGGC